GGAAGAUUCACAUCUGUAAAGAAUCUCUAUUAACAUAGCUAUAUCUUUUUCUUCCAGGCCCUCCGAACCCUGAAGAGAUCAUCAUAUAUAUGUGCUGCCGAAGCGAGCACUCCUGAAGAGAUUAACUAAGAGUCUAGCACCUUUUAAGUUAGAAGAGACUGCCCACAUAGGGAGAGUGGCACAGAGGAGAGUAACAUCAAUCAACAGCGAAUAUGCACUUGAUCGCGGUCUAAUCAGCACCAGGCACCUCAGGGCAGCAGUAUUGUCAGACGCAUUGGAACCAGAGGGACUCCAUCUUGAAUAAGGUCUGGGUAAAAUGAGGCUAACACCUACUGGGCUGCAUUCCCAGGAGGUUAAGCAUUCUUAGUCACAGGACAAGAUAGGUCAGCAGGACAAGAUAGAGGUCAUAAAGACCCUGCUGAUAAAACAAUGCCAUAAAGAAGGCAGCCAAAACCUGCCAAAACCAAGGUGGUGAUGAAAGUGACCUCUAGUUGUCCUCACUGCUCACUAUACGCUAAUUAUAAUGCAUUAGCAUACUCAAAGACACUCCCAGCAGCACCACGACAGUUUACAAACGCCAUGGCAACAUUAGGAAGUUACCCUAUAUGGUCUAAAAGGGGAGGAACCCUCAGUUAGGGUAAAUCCCUGCCCUUUUCCUGGAAAACUCAUGAAUGAUCCACCCCUUGUUUAACAUAUAAUCAAGA
rnacentral:lncRNA from 1 species